UGCCACCUCCGACUAUUAUGUAAUCGUAUCCUUUCUCUCUCUCAUGGCCGUCCCGAUAGAACGAGCUUGCGCGCUUGAUGAACGGGGAUUUGUUGUAGUAGCUACAUUGUAAUGGAAGAUAUCAGAAAAACCAACCUUGACAAGAAGAGAGGAGGUGUAAGAGGCAGAGGAGAACAAGGAAGAGAAAGAGCUUGACUGUCCCAACCAACGCCAUUGAGUUGCAGACAAGGCAAAAGACAGUAGCAGUAGCAAAGGAUGCUGCUUCUUCCAAACCUUUGGGGUUUUGGAUGGCUGCUCUUGGAUCGUUGGAUGAUUUCUUCUGUGAUUUGAUCAUGGCCUUUCAUGAAUACUUGAAGACAGCUCAUUCAUCAAUCUCCCCUUUAAACUGUAUGGAUUCCCAAAAGAAUGAACCCAGAAUCCAUAGCUAAGAAGGGUUUGCGCUCUGAUGAAAUAUAUCACAAGUUGGGAGUUCGCAGGUUUUUCGCGCAAGAGUAUGGAUGAAGAAGAUUACUCCUCUAGGAGCUUCCCCAUUCAAGAAAACGUUCAAUGAGGUUCAUAGCCUAUUGGUUUAGUUUAGUGUUGCCUAAUGUCACGAUCAUGCUUGUUUAAGGUGUGUUGUCUAUGACCGCAUGUCGAAUUUUCCAAUUAUGCUUGUCCAGGACGUGUUGUUCAUGGUCGCAUGCCCGUUCCAAACCCCUUUUACAUGCUUUCAUCUUAGAUAAGUGUUUAUUAUUUUACGUUGUGUUAAUAUGGGAGUGUAUGACAAGGUUAAAAUGCCCUAAAAUGUAUUAUAGGAGACAUGACUAGUUGUUACUAAUUCUUACUUGGAUUAUAUGCUAUUAAAGUCAUUACAUAA